rnacentral:lncRNA from 1 species
UGCCUUGUCCCAGCCUCCUGCCCUCCCAAGGACAGAAGUUUGUCUUUCAGCAUGUCCCUCCAGCCGGCAUGUGGCAAACCAUGUUUCAGUCUCUUGCCUUCCAGCACCAGGCAAACUCCACAGUCCUCGCAUUCCUGCCGCAUGGGACACCCCACUCCUGCCUUUUCCCACAUGGAGCACAGCCUGCUGCCAUGCUCAGGGGGAAAACACACACUGAUUAUUGGGUGCUGUGCCCUUUCCCAGGGGGAGCUUUAAGCUUAUGCCUCCCUUCUCUGCCAGAGUCCUCCUUUCUACCCUUUUAACUGGAGCCAAGUGGCAGCUCCAGUGUGGUUCCUUCAGUUUGUGUGGUGAGACUUCACUCUGCGUGUGCCUUCAGCAGAUGUCCUCCACUUCUGCAGGCCCAGUUUGGAUUUGGACAUUUUCCUAGGAAGCUGCACCCUCAACUCAGCCCUGCAUAAGCAGCAUUCCUGGUGUGGACGGCCAGCUGGCUGUUACAACCUUUUUUCACACCAUGCUAUGUAAAACUACACAGGGCAGGUCUUGUUGAUGUGUGAAAAACGCUUCUAACAGUCUGCUCCCAUGUGCACUGAGGUUUCCAGCUCAGAGACUCUCUGACCCCCAGUGAGCAACAGUGCUGGAAACAAGGAAAUGACUUUCUAUUGGCAGGGAAGGGAGAAGAAAAUGAGUUGAGGAACAGGCUUGGUUUUCAGAAGAACAGAAGUUUCCAGAAGCAUGCUGAUUGAGGGUUGGCACUGUGGGCCAACAGCAAGUGCAGUAAGAAUGACCCUAAAGAAACACUUGUUAUACACACAGCUCUUUUAAAAGACUGGUUUACUGAUUAUUUUACAUGUAUUGACUACUUUCCACUGGUCAGUUUGCGCAUAAUACAUGUAUAUUUGGCUUUUCUGGGUAAAUGGGGCUUGUGACUGCUCAGAAUGGCACACCACUGGUGUAUCAGUCACACAGGACAUAAAGCCAGAUAAACAUAUUCUGACAUGUUGUCACAAAUGGACAGCUCAUUAUAAAGGAGGCAAUAAAAGUGGUUAAAAAGUGCA